GACGAACGCUGGCGGCGUGCUUAACACAUGCAAGUCGAACGGAAAGGCCCUGCUUUUGUGGGGUGCUCGAGUGGCGAACGGGUGAGUAACACGUGAGUAACCUGCCCUUGACUUUGGGAUAACUUCAGGAAACUGGGGCUAAUACCGGAUAGGAGCUCCUGCUGCAUGGUGGGGGUUGGAAAGUUUCGGCGGUUGGGGAUGGACUCGCGGCUUAUCAGCUUGUUGGUGGGGUAGUGGCUUACCAAGGCUUUGACGGGUAGCCGGCCUGAGAGGGUGACCGGCCACAUUGGGACUGAGAUACGGCCCAGACUCCUACGGGAGGUAGCAGUGGGGAAUAUUGCACAAUGGGCGGAAGCCCGAUGCAGCAACGCCGCGUGCGGGAUGACGGCCUUCGGGUUGUAAACCGCUUUCGCCUGUGACGAAGCGUGAGUGACGGUAAUGGGUAAAGAAGCACCGGCUAACUACGUG
rnacentral:rRNA from 1 species